ensembl:miRNA
CUUAUGCAUGCAGUGAUUUGAGGAUUAUUGCUCAUGGUAAGACAAACAUGAGUAAUACAUUGUCUUCAAAGAACCUAUACUCUAA